rnacentral:rRNA from 1 species
UACAGAGGGUGCGAGCGUUAAUCGGAAUUACUGGGCGUAAAGCGUGCGUAGACGGCUAUCUAAGUCGGGUGUGAAAGCCCCGGGCUCAACCUGGGAAUUGCAUUCGAGACUGAAUAGCUAGGGUGCGGUAGAGGGAAGCGGAAUUUCCGGUGUAGCGGUGAAAUGCGUAGAUAUCGGAAGGAACAUCAGUGGCGAAAGCGGCUUCCUGGACCAGCACCGACGUUCAGGCACGAAAGCGUGGGGAGCAAAAGGG